AUGUAGCUGCCUUCAUAACUCCCUUUCAUCUUUUUGUCAUUUCUCAUUUCUUGAAUCCUAUCUGUCUUUUUCCCUUUCUGGCCUUUCCUUGCCUCUCAUAUACUCUGCUCUUUUUACUUUCCUGUCAUUAUCGCCUGGACAUGCCUCUUUUUUCCUUUUCCAUGAAUAUCUUUUAAAGAUCCUGACAUCGUGGGCUCAAAAUCUAGAGUUACUUUACUUUGUGCUAAGACUUCAGAUUUUGAGUAUAUAUCAGCGUCAACUCCUC
rnacentral:lncRNA from 1 species